rnacentral:rRNA from 1 species
GACAGAGGGGGCAAGCGUUGUCCGGAUUGACUGGGCGUACAGCGCGUGUAGGCGGCGGUCGACGUGCCGUGUGACAGGCGGGGGCUCAACUCCCGACGGCCACGGUAGACGCGGCGGCUGGAGGCCGGGAGAGGGCAGUGGAAUACCUGGUGGAGCGGUGAAAUGCGUAGAGAUCAGGUGGAACACCAGCGGCGCAGGCGGCUGCCUGGCCCGGACCUGACGCUGAGACGCGAGAGCGUGGGGAGCGAACCGGAUUAGAUA